GACGAACGCUGGCGGCGUGCUUAACACAUGCAAGUCGAACGGUAAGGCCCUUCGGGGUACACGAGUGGCGAACGGGUGAGUAACACGUGGGUGAUCUGCCCUGCACUUCGGGAUAAGCCUGGGAAACUGGGUCUAAUACCGGAUAGGACCACUGCCUGCAUGGUGGUGGUGGAAAGCUUUUGCAGUGUGGGAUGGGCCCGCGGCCUAUCAGCUUGUUGGUGGGGUGAUGGCCUACCAAGGCGACGACGGGUAGCCGGCCUGAGAGGGUGACCGGCCACACUGGGACUGAGAUACGGCCCAGACUCCUACGGGAGGCAGCAGUGGGGAAUAUUGCACAAUGGGCGCAAGCCUGAUGCAGCGACGCCGCGUGAGGGAUGACGGCCUUCGGGUUGUAAACCUCUUUCAGCACCGACGAAGCGCAAGUGACGGUAGGUGCAGAAGAAGGACCGGCCAACUACGUGCCAGCCGCCGCGGUAA
rnacentral:rRNA from 1 species